UUUUUUUUUUCAAAGCUCCCCCAGGCGAUUCUAAUGUGUGGCCAAGUCUGAGAAUCCUUGAUUUGAACCUAACCGAGAAGGAGCCCGUCUGCCCAGCCAGCCUUUGAUCGGCAGCAGAACUUCACUGUGUCAGUCGGGGAUGGUUACCUGGAGCCACCCAUGGAGAAGUGAGGAUUUUCCUGGAGGUUCAAAGGUAUGCUGCGCUUGACCGUCAGCCCUCCUGCCUGCCGGGUUACCUGGGGAGCUCAGCGAAAUGACAUCUUCUUGCCUUGGCUGCCUGGGGAUUUUAUUCAGUGGGUCUGCUGUAAUGGAAUCCAGGAAUCAAGAUUUUUAUUUUUUAAAUUUUGAAAAAAAAAUUGAAACAGUAACCGGAUAUAUUUAUGGGGCAUGGUGUGUGACAUUUCAGUAAGCGUCUACAGUGAGUAAGGACCAGGGGAGGUACCUGGCAUGUCCUUCGCCUCAAACAUUCAUCUUUUCUUUGUUGGGAAUGUUCCAAAUCCUCUCUACUCCCUGUUUUGAAAUUUUCGAUUAGUUUCUGCCAAUUGAUUUCUGUCAAUCGGCCGUCUGUGGAGUCGAGCAUCGGGAGUCACGCCUGGCCAGCUGCCCCCUGUGCCCGGCAGCUGCCCUCUCCACCCCUGCCCACCCUGUCAGGCCCUGGUAACCACAGUGCUAUUCUCUCUACUAUGAGAUCAGCUUUUUUUAGCUUCCACAGAGAAGUGAGAUCAUGCGGUUCCCUCUCUGGGCCUGACUUGCCUCACUUAGCAUAAUGUCCUCUAGUUCCAUGGACAUUGCCGCAAAUGACAGGAUUUCAGGAAUCUGGUGUUGUGAAGAACCCCCAGCACAGCGCAGAGAGGUUCUCCCAGCGCUCUGAGCCCCGGCUUCUCAGCUACCCUGUGGGCCCACGGAGGACCGUGCCUGGAGGGGGGGGUUGAUGGAUUCCAGGGAUCAGUCUGGGUUCAGGCCUGUGGGGGCUGUGUGGCAGACGGGUGGGCAGGAACAGAGGCGGCAGGUAGUGAGUGGGCCUCACACCUGUGUCCUCAGACGGGCAGCAGGCCUCCGCUGAGCUGGAAGGGACAGUCUUGUGUUAGAGUCUGUAAACAAGUCUGGAUGGCGCCUGGCAAAAUGCCAGAGGGAAUAAUUUAUGAAGUAACACCAGCGAGCCAUUAAGUGUGGAGAUUUCUUAUUGGUUGACUGAUGUAUCUAGUUUAUGCUAAUUAGAUAAGCUGUGUGGAAUGUAUAAAUACUGCUCCCGUCCUGCGAUAAACGGCUCCCACUUCUACUGUAUCAACGUACACAAGUUGUUCGUCACCCCCCAGUUAUUUUGCUGCAGCCGGACUGCAGCAGUCUUGCCCAGGCGUGGGCUGCCUCCCGGCGGCCAGAGCCUGACCACCGCACCUGCUGUCCCAGAAGGAUCAGCCCUCUUGUUGAGCUCCCAGGCCUUUUGUUGUCCUGCAGGGGGACAUUUCUGUAGGGUGUUAGUGUCCUGUGCUGCUAGAACAACUUACCAGAAACGUAGUGGCUUAGAACAGCAAAAACUCAUCUUACAGUUCUUACAGAAUCCAACACGGAUUCCACUUUUCUGGCUUCUAGAAGCCCCUGUUUCUUGGCCUUCCUCCGUCUCCACGGCCAGCCUUGGGUGGACUGAACCCUCAGUGGGAUCACUCUGAACUCUUCCCUCCCUCUCUACUUUUAAGGCCCUCCUGGCUCCACAGGGCCUGCCCCGUGUGACCAGGACACUCUCCCUGUUUUAAGCUCUGCUGCUUAGGGACCUUACCUCCAUCAUAGCCUUGGCUCUCCUUUGCCAGAUGAAGUGACGGGUCACAGGCUCUGAGCACCAGGAUGUGGGUGUCUUUGGGGACCAUCAGAUAUACUGUCUUGACCAACUCUUUAGAUCUUUAACGGCAUCAGUCUCAGUGAAGUGCUAGUAGCCCAUGUCCCCCACACGUAAACUCCUGCAAGACUGACCCGUGUCUUAUUCUGACCUGAAUUGCCCAUGACUUGUCCUUCAAAUUGGGGCUACUGGUAUCUUGGAAACCUAGGAGAGCUUUCCAGAGUUAAAGGUAAUUUAGAAGAAGCCAUUUCAGUCUUUUUUAUUUUUUUUACAAUGCCAGGAAUCAAAUCCAGGUCCUCAUACAUGGCAGGCUCUCCACUGAGCGCACCCGCCCCACCUGCAGGUCUUUCGUUAGCAGUGAGUACGGACUGGGAAAGUGCCCACGUGGUGGGGGUCCUCUUUUCCCUCCUGCCAGAUGUUUUGUUAAGGAAGACCCAACUCCCUUCCCUUGAAGAGCUGGAUAGUGACAUUCAAAUACAUCCAGGCCUCCCCUUGUCCUGAUCAAAACAUACGUUCUCAACAGAUUGUACAAAUACAUUUAACAUGUAGGUAUCAAAGUUUGUAAUAUAUUUUUGAUGCCUUGAUCAAAUGUGUAUAAAUAAGAAUUGGGAUGAUAGCUGAAUCCAGAAGAAAAAAUUUAACAUGCUCAGAGUCUGAUGGUGCCAGGAAGUAAAUAGUAAAUUAGAAUUUCAGCUGGACAUGAUGGUGCACACCUGUAAUCCCAGUGGCUUGUGAGGCUAAGGCAGGAAGAUCACGAGUUCAAAUCCAGCCUCAGCAACAUAGAGAGGACCUAAGCAACUUAGCAAGAACUGUCUCAAAAUAAAAAAACAAAAAGGGCCAGGAAUAUGGCUCAGUGGUUAAGCACCCCUGGGUUUAAUCCCUGGUACCAAAAAAAAAAAAUUCCAUUUUUAUAAUUUUUCUUGCAUGGAAUUAUGAUACUGAGAUUUAUGUCUAAAAUUGUGAUUAUAAAAAGAUUUCUAGGGGCUGGGGUUGUGGCUCAGUGGUAGAGCGCUUGCCUAGCCCUGGGUUCAAUCCUCAGCACCAGAUGAAAAUAAAUAAAAAUAUAAAAAAAGAUUUCUAGCAUAAAAUUAUAUCAUGAUAAAUAAAUUUGAUUUCAAUGAGGAAAAAGGAAAAAUGUAAAAUAGUCUGACUCACAGUUGUUCAUGCACUCUUUUUUAAAUAGCUGAUGGUAGGUAUCAAAUUGCUGUGGUAUUUAGACUCCAUAGGAAACAUUGAAAGGAGUGAUGUAACCGUUUUAUUUCUACAAUGUCAAUAUUUACAACACAGUGGGGAUUACAUCUUUUGUACAAUUUAAAUUUAUGAUAAAAAAUUUGGAUGUCAACCAAAAAUGUGCAAGGGCUACACAGCGUGUCAAAGUUCUUUAGAGGAUUCUAUAAGCUUAAAAGUUGAAAGACUCCUGCCCUGUGGUGCCUGGUGCACAGUAGGUGCUUAACAAAGUGUGAGGAGGAAAGUUGUGCAAAUUAAAGUGAUCACACAAAAGCUUAAAGUGAGGUUUUAGUAUGUGGAACAGGUGGGACCCUCUAAGGGUGCCUUACAGGCACUCCUCCUCACAGUCCCUGAGCCUCUUGGGGACUCUGGCAUUGUAAGAAAUCAUUAGCCUCCUUUUUCAGACUAGGAAGUUGGGGGUUGGCUUAAGGCAGCAGAGGCAGAAGUGACAAUAUGGCUCUGCCAGCUCUAUGAAGAAGAGAGCUUAGGGAGGGAACAGAGAUUUGGUUGUUCAUUCCUCCAACUAAGCAAGCAGCAGCCGGCCAGCCAGCCAACAGCGGAAUAUGCAACCACCCAUCCCACCACCCAGCCAACCACCCAGCCAUCCACCCAUCUAACCAUCCAUCCAAGCACCCAUACAACCACCCAUUCAAUCAUCCACUCAACCACCCAUCCACCCAGCCAACCACCCAUCCAUCCAUCCAAUUAUCCAGCCAACCACCCAUCUAACCAUACAUCCAAACACCCAUCCAACCACCCUGCUAACUGGUGAAAGAUACCACCACCAUCCACCCAUCUAACCACCCAUUCACUUAGCCACCCAUUCAUCCAAUCACCACCCACCCAACCAGUUUCAAGGAGCCCUAGAUCCCAGCCUGGAGCACAGGUCAGGAGUGUACAGUUGAGUGUGGUUCCCUCCCCUGAACUGCGGUAAUAAAACAUGUAGCCUCUUGGCCUUUCCUGGCUUCUCCUGGAGACCCCCAACUCUGCUUUUGGAGUUGUGUCUGCCUGGCAGAACGUGUUCCUGGUAGGAGGGAAUUCGCUCUUCAUGCUAGUCGUAGUUGGCUGUGGGGUCCCCGCUGCCCUCCUCUCCCUCUGUGAGUCCCCCACCUCCACCUGUGCUCCUGGCUGUCUCGGACUGUCGAUUCCUCAUUAGCAGGAGGGAGUCCAUUUUUAGGAGUGAUGAGUAGAUGGAAAAUUGUCACUGAUCACUCAUGGCAGAUGCCGCCGGAGCUUAAUUAAGGCCAGACGGUGCAGCUCAGUGACUUUGUAGAUGUGCAGGAGGGAAGGGUGCUGGGUCUCAGCGAGGUCCAGGGGCUCGGGCAAACUGUUUGACUUUUUGGUACUGGGGAUUGAACCCAGGGGUGCCUACCACGGAGCUACAUCCCCAACCCUUUUUAAAAAUUUAAAAUUUUGAGAUGGGGGUCUCGCUAAGUUGCCCAGGCUGGCUUCAAACUUGUGAUCCUCCUGCCUCAGCCUCCAGAGCUGCGGGGAUACCGGCAUGCACCCCUGCUCCUGACCUUGGGAAAACUUUUAUCAUCAGUUUGUAAUAAUAAAACGGAGCGGUCUGUUCUCUGAUGUAGAGGAUGUAAAAUUGGACAAGAUGUAGUUCUGCUUUCAUGGAAAUAAUAAUAGAAUUUUAAAAGUUUGUGGGUGAAAAGAAACAAUGAGGCAUCACAUUGUCCCUGACCUCCUGGUGUGGAUGGAGUUGGAGUCAGAGGGACGGGGCCCCUGUCUUUGACCUCUCUGCUCGGGGACCAGGGGCCCCCGGGCCCUGGGUUCUGAGGGAUGAUCACUGGUGGGAGGUGAGAACUCGGGCGGUAAGUCACCCCUGGAGGGAAAGCAGAAUGGGUGUGAGAAUCUUCAGGACCAAUGUUGAUUGAAUCAACUGAAAACCCUCGGUCUGUUUCCUGUGCACUUGAAGUCACAUCCUAGUGCCUUAUUGUGGCUUCCAAGUGGCUGUGGGGGGUGAAGAAGUCAGGAACCUCCCUCCCUCUAGGGUUUUGGGAGAGGUGAUGGGAGUUGGUCAAGGCUGGGGCAGGAGAGGGGUUGAAAGGCAGGUACAGGGGAGCCCUGGGCGAUGGUCCAUUAGGUGUUGGAGUGGGGCAUGAGUCAGGCCCCUCUCCGGGCUCUGGGAGAGAUGCUGGGGAGGACUGGAAUUGUCUUUAUCCUUGGCUUCUGGAUGCCACUUCCUAGAAUGUGACACCAGACUGUUUUAAUUUGUUUGGGCUGCCAUAUGGAAGUGAGCCAUGGACUGACACUUCCCAAACUCUGAGAUAAACCUUUCUGCUUUAUAAGUUGAUUAUCUCAAGUAUUUUACCACAGUGAUGGACAAGCACUCUACCACUGAGCCCCAGCCCUACCCUGCUCUUCUUUACGGAAAGGGAGAUAGUCCACUCCCCUUGUUCCUUGUCCACAUGACCCCAGGCCCUGGUUGGUGGCAGCCUGGCAGGAAGGAUGGAGGGACAGUGCAGGAGGCCCAGGCACAUUAGGUUCAGCAAGUGCCAAGGAAACACACUGUCUGAAGAGAAGGGCCAUUGCUAAAGGCUUUCAGUGCUAAGGCAGGGGUGAGCUGUUUGAACCUUGGUGCUCAUGAUAGUACAUGGCUCAGGCCUCAGUGAAGGGUAUAAUUCUAUUGUGGGAUUCCAGUGAGCUCAUAAGCCACAGAGCAUGGCCGGUCAGCAGAUCACAGGGUUCUGUUACCACGCAGCUUGUCAGCCAGGCCCACUGUGGCUCCGCCUGAGGACGGAGCAGCCAGGGCUCCCCUGAACUGUGCCCUAAAGAGGCCUUAACUACAGAGAUCAGUUCAGUCAGGGCACAUGUGGGUGUGUACGUCUGUGCAUGUCCCCAUCUACAGUGUGGCCGGGAACCCAGUGGGACAGCGUCACGACGUGGUAUCUGUUCGUAAAAUUUCUAUGCAAAAUAUUCUCUCUUGAUGUGCCAUAAAUAGGUGGGGCUCCCUGAGAACUCUGUGAAGCAGCUCUUACUUGAUUCCUGGAAUCAUGACAGUGAACGGGAAAAGUGGCACGGGGAGGGACGACAGGGCACAGUGGGGCCUGUACACAACAUGAUCCGACCCUGAGUUGGCCAAAGUGAAGUCUCUCACUACAAACAUGCCUGCAGUCUGUGUGAAAUUCUGGGAUAUACGCUUAUCUUUCUACCAGACCGUGGACCUGCAAGCCGCAGUCUUUGGGUCAAAAUCUUCAGGACCAAUGUUAAUUGAAUCAACUGAAAACCCUCGGUCUGUGUCCCGUGCACUUGAAGUCACAUCCUAGUUCCUUAUUGUGGUUUCCAAGUGGCUGUGGGGGAUGACGGAGUCAGGAACCUCCCUCUAGGGUUUUGGGAGAGGUGACGGGGGUUGGCCAAGGCCACCUGUUUUUGUCAAGUUUUAUGAGAGCACUGCUGUACGUCCAUUUCUUGAAGUACUGUCUGUGGCUGCCUUUGAGCACAGUGGCAGUUGUACUGGUCUGCUUUCCAUUCCUAUAACAAAACGCCCGAGUGAAUCAGCUUCUAUCAGCUUAUAACAAUGGUGGAGGUCUCAGCUCUUGACUCGUCCCCCAUAUUGCUUUUGGGCCUCUAGUGAGGAAGCACAUCAUGGUUUGGGAGCCCAUGGUGCGGAUAAAGCCGCUCACCUCACGGCCAGGGAGGAAGAGAGACAGGAAGAGGCUGGCUUCCCACAGUCCCAGGGACCUAAUGGCUUCCCACAGCCACCUCUUACAGUUCCUACCACCUUCCAAUGGCACCACGCUGUGGACCAGGCCUUUAACAUGGGCACCUCUACGGACAUUUAAAAUCUGAGCCAUAGCAGCAGAGUAGCUUUGUGAGAACACGUGGCCUUCUGAGACCGAACCGCUUACCCUCUGUCUGUUUUGGGAAGUGUCUGCUGGCUCACCCUGGACGGGCUUCUGGGGGCGGCUGGGUGCAGGCUCCAUGCUCAGGCACGGUUCACGUGCAGGAGGGAUCUUGCGCCAUCCUUGGGAGGGCUGUGGCCGCUGACCCCACUCCACUCUUCCUUCUCCUGAUGCCAGGGUCCCAGAAGAGGGUCUUCACGCCUUCUAGCCCAUCCUGAGGGUUCUAGUGCUCCCACUCGUUUAGUGGUUUGGGCUCCAGCAUGUGACAGCCUUGUGGCCAAGCGGCGGCGAAGGGAAGUGUGCUGGCGGUCCCCGAGGAGGGAGACCCGUGGGGCAACUUCACACGCAGGAAGGAACUCCAGGGGCCCCGACCUGCCUUCUUUUGCCUCUGGACGUUGUUGAGCAAGGACACGGUGCCAGCAGCAGUGAUGGCAUCUUGGGGCAAGUCCAAGGCCAACAGCCAAGAGCUGGGGACGUCAGAGCGGCAGGAUGGUCCCCGCUGACCCAGUGAAACCAAGUUACUCAGUGCAGAUUUGCCCUUUCCUACGUUUUGUUGGGAAAUUGCUUUAUCGUCCAUUUGCUUUUGAUGGACCUGGACGGGAGACCGCCACGUGCUGUGUUCACGUCCUCUUUCCUUGGCUGGGGCUUCUGGCUUUCAUGUCUGUUUACCAAGGUGACAUCCCACAGAUCUUAUGAAAUCGUUCCGUAUGUUCUUCUUACAUUAUUGGUUUUUUUUUCCAUUUAGAAUUUUACUCCGUCAGAAAUCAAUUCUUUUUGGAAUGGUGCGAGGGCCAUGACUUUGUAUUGUUUUCUUCUUUUCCAGAUGCAGAAAUGAUUUCUGGAGUGCGGGAUGGUGAACGAAAUCCAUUGUAAAUCCGUAAAGAAUUUUCAUAAAGACAAUCUAUCUAUUCUAUGUUGGAAACUAAUGGGGUAAAAUCGUUUCUGGUAGAUAUCGUCUUAGGAAGUGGCCACAUGAGAUGAAGACUUUUAAGUGCCAUAGUUAUGCACUAGAGUAUCUUCUAAUUUCCUACAAGGACUCAGAGGAACUGGAAGGUCUCCAGCACAGGCCUUGAUUUAAGACACACUGUACAAUGAGGGGACACUGUCCCUGUCAAGUACAGUGGAAACCAGAGUUUUGAGACUAGACUCUGCCAAUUUCCUCCUAGGUUCUUGCCUCACAGAUUUGAAGAAUAAAAUCCACAGACAAUGGUGGGAGGGAAGAUGGACAGAGCACUCCCAGGAUGCAGGAGCCGUGCAGCAGGAAGGCCCACUCUGCUGUGCCAGCCUAGGGGCUGACAGGGCCUUGGGUAUGAGCAGGCUUGACGUUUUCGCUGAACAGGCAGCAGGGAAGUUCCGAGGCUGCUGGCUGUGUCUUCAGCCUGGGUCCUGAUCCCUCCUGUGAAGCCCAUCUGGCUUCACCCCCACCUUCUGUUCUGACUCUCGGGGAAGAAGGAGCUGGAUGCUCCUAUGGGUGAUCCUCAUGGUCUUUUCCAUUUGAAAAAGACUUUGCUGUUGCCUAUUGAUACUUCUUUUGCCUCCUGGCUGGUCUCUGCCUUUGAACAAGGCCUUCCCUGGGGCCCGCUGCCUGACCACUGUGUGCUCUGAUUCACAUCUGCAUCACUGAUGGGGAACACCUCCUGAAUGACGUGUCUUAGUGUUUCAUCGCUGUACGAACAUCCUACAUCGGACGGACAUCUACAAAACCUGUGAUGAGGCCUGCUGCAGACCUAGGUGACACAGCACAGCCAUUGCCCCCGGUCGGCAAAGCUGAAUAGCAGGUGCUCAGUGCUGCAGGCAGCUGUAACACAGUGGUGAGUCCACGUGUGUCCAACCUUGUCUAAACCAGGAGGUCCAGCAAGAACACUAGGCAACAGGAAUCUCCCAUCCUCCUUACAAGCUUAGGUGCCACUCACACGUGUGUGGUCCCUUGCCAACCAGAAAGCUGCUGUCCAGGGCAUGACUGUAUUGUCUGAUCACGCCACCCCAGGUAAUAUAUUGCAUUAUGUCCUGGUGGUGGUUAGGCAUGUUGACAGAAAAAGCCAGAGUAAAAACUUAUCAGUACCUUGCAUUGUGUUGAUUUUGAACUCCAAAAGUUCCUAGCUACUGAAGAUCAUUGAUACAAGGGAACCGAAGUAAAUCCUCUCAAAUUAGGGAGCGACAUUCCUUUCUUAUCGAAUCUAAAACAAACAUGCAAAUCAACAGGAAAAAACCCUGGCUCGUCUUAUGGUAAUUAAAAUCUACUUUCAAUAAAUUAAAAGGAAAACAUACUUAGGAGAUAUUUGUGAUACAUACUUACCCCAAAAGGGAGUAUCAGGAAUAUGAAAAGAACCUUGCAAAUCAAUAAGAAAAAAAGAUAGGAAGACGUAAGUAAAGAAAAAGGGAGAAUGGUCCAAAGACCAAUGAACUGGUAUUUCUCAGAAGAAGAAGCGUAAAAAGCCAGUCAGUUUAUGAAUUCUUGCUCGGGAUCAUUCGGGUUUGGGAAAGUCAGACAAGACCUCCGUGAGCUUGCCUUUCGCAUCUAUUUAGCUGGAGAAAACCUACCUCAGGUGUAACCAAAUUUAGUCUACAACUGUAACCCUG
rnacentral:lncRNA from 1 species